AUAUAGCAAGAGGGAGGCUGAGAGGUCUUUCAUCAGGAGGCACGGUGUGAGCAGGUGCAAGAAACCUGAAUCUUAAUCCUGAAAUGGAGAAAGCCAAGAACGUCCUGAUCUAAACUACAGAGCCCUCAGAAGACUCAGAACAACACACAAGUUCUUGGGAAGCUACUGGAGGAUGUGUGUCAUCAAAACAAGGGAAUCAGCAGUCCUGUAUCUAUGAAGAAACAACUGGAAAUGAUAGGCUCACAUUCUCCUCUGUUAAGUGCAUUCCCAAUCAGCUUCUUUCCUCAGGUUGGAAAGUGGCUGCCAGCAGCUACCAAGGUGCUAUCCUUCCAGAUUCACAUCCUGCAGAAAGAGCAUGAGAUUCCUGGCAGAAGAUUUGAGAUGCACUCAAAGUAUACUGGCUGAAGUCGGGCCUUAAGUCUGGAUGGGAUGCCCCUUUACCUGCUCCCAUUGGGUCCCGUACUUCCACCUUCAUAACACUAACAAUGCUAGAGUGUGGCAGCUCUCAAAGUGUCAUCCUCCAGCAGCAUCAGUAUCACCUACCUGGACAUUUCACAGAAAUGCAGAUUCUCUGGCUCCACCCACAUCCUCUGAAUCAGAAACUGUUGUGUGUGUGUGUGUGGGGGGGGGGGGUUCCGCAAGAUAUCUGUGCUUUAACAAGCCCUCUAGAAGAUUCUGAUGCACUCCCAGCUUGAGAACUCUACUUGCUCUAAUGCGAUUGCCUGUUUACUGUUGGGAUCCCACACCAGAUGUAAGCACCAGGAGGCAGGGCCGCAUCUGUUCCAUUCAACACUGUAUCUGCCAAGCCCACAGUAGGUGCUCUCCUAAUUCUAUGUGGUAGACUUCAAAAGACAAAGAAAGUGUUAUUCUCACUGGCUCUGGCCUGGACCAAGAGAAUGCAGAAAUGGCUUCCAUUCUGUGAGCUGUGACUUCUAACGUGGCCACAUAGCUGGUGGAGAGGUGACAACCUUCAUCUCCAAGGAUCCCCUGCACUGCUUGCUUUAUGCCCAGAGCAACCUCAUGCUGACAAGGACUGCACAGUUUUGAACACCCAUGCUCCAAUCAAAAGAAACCAAUUUGUGAGAGACGAUAUAAAUCCAUGAAUACUGCACUGAAACCUCUUUCUGCUCCAGGCAGAGAAGAUAAAUUACCACCCGAGUGAUAUAAAGUUAGUUUGAAUAUUUCAUUGGAUCAAAUGCAACAUGUCUCAGAACCUCUCCUCUUUUAAGUCAGAAUUAAAGAAUUGUUAUCAGGCAUAAUAAUAGACACUAUCAUUUGCAUACAUUUUAUCUCAAGAGACUUUUGAAGUUAUGCAAUACGCCAGUGGUUAAUUGUUCUUCACACUCCUGACAUAUCAAAUUACAGCUCAGAUGAGAGAGCAACCCAUUUGUGACUGGAAUGAUUGGCAGGAGCCUACAAGGAGAGCAUCUUCGAGGACUGAAGGAGGAGUAUCUUUUCAGGCUUUUCCAUGGAGACCUUGGAGACCAUGGGUUCUAGAUGGUUCUGUUAUAACAUGAUGGAGACUUCAUUAGUCUGGGUUCCUAGACGAGUGUGAAACACUUUCCCCACUGAUUGAAUUACAAUUAUAAUGUGAAAGAAAAAUAAAUCUUUAUUGUGUAAAACUACUGAAAUAUCAGAGUUACAAUACUGUAGUGUAGCAAAUUCUGGCAAAUACUUCCCAGCAUAUUUUCAAUUCCAUUUCAUUGGCCAAGCCUAGAUGAUAUGGUCACCUAUAGCUGAAGGAAGGCUGGGAAAGAUGGAAGAGGAUUGCUUAUUUGGCUUAAA
rnacentral:lncRNA from 1 species